rnacentral:rRNA from 1 species
CUGGAAACGGUAGCUAAUACCGCAUAACGUCGCAAGACCAAAGAGGGGGACCUUCGGGCCUCUUGCCAUCGGAUGUGCCCAGAUGGGAUUAGCUAGUAGGUGGGGUAACGGCUCACCUAGGCGACGAUCCCUAGCUGGUCUGAGAGGAUGACCAGCCACACUGGAACUGAGACACGGUCCAGACUCCUACGGGAGGCAGCAGUGGGGAAUAUUGCACAAUGGGCGCAAGCCUGAUGCAGCCAUGCCGCGUGUAUGAAGAAGGCCUUCGGGUUGUAAAGUACUUUCAGCGGGGAGGAAGGGAGUAAAGUUAAUACCUUUGCUCAUUGACGUUACCCGCAGAAGAAGCACCGGCUAACUCCGUGCCAGCAGCCGCGGUAAUACGGAGGGUGCAAGCGUUAAUCGGAAUUACUGGGCGUAAAGCGCACGCAGGCGGUUUGUUAAGUCAGAUGUGAAAUCCCCGGGCUCAACCUGGGAACUGCAUCUGAUACUGGCAAGCUUGAGUCUCGUAGAGGGGGGUAGAAUUCCAGGUGUAGCGGUGAAAUGCGUAGAGAUCUGGAGGAAUACCGGUGGCGAAGGCGGCCCCCUGGACGAAGACUGACGCUCAGGUGCGAAAGCGUGGGGAGCAAACAGGAUU